AUGCUCGCUUUGGCAGCACAUAAACUAAAAUUGGAAUGAUACAGAGAAGAUUAGCAUGGCCCCUGCACAGGAUGAUACACAAAUUCGUGAAGCAUUUCAUAAAAGA
ensembl:snRNA U6 U6 spliceosomal RNA